rnacentral:rRNA from 1 species
GUGAGGAAUAUUGGUCAAUGGGCGGAAGCCUGAACCAGCCAUCCCGCGUGGAGGAAGACGGCCCUAUGGGUUGUAAACUUCUUUUCAAGGGGAAGAAAGUUCGCGACGUGUCGCGAUUUGCCGGUACCUUUGGAAUAAGCAUCGGCUAACUCCGUGCCAGCAGCCGCGGUAAUACGGAGGAUGCGAGCGUUAUCCGGAUUUAUUGGGUUUAAAGGGUGCGUAGGCCGAUCGAUAAGUCAGCGGUGAAAUACCAUGGCCCAACCAUGGAACUGCCGUUGAUACUGUCGGUCUUGAAUAUGGUCAAGGUAGGCGGAAUGUGUAAUGUAGCGGUGAAAUGCUUAGAUAUUACACAGAACACCGAUUGCGAAGGCAGCUUACUGGUCCAUUAUUGACGCUGAGGCACGAAAGCGUGGGGAUCGAACAGGAUUAGAAACCCGUGUAGUCC